UGGGGAAUAUUGCACAAUGGGCGCAAGCCUGAUGCAGCCAUGCCGCGUGUGUGAAGAAGGCCUUCGGGUUGUAAAGCACUUUCAGCGAGGAGGAAGGUGGUGAGCUUAAUACGCUCAUCAAUUGACGUUACUCGCAGAAGAAGCACCGGCUAACUCCGUGCCAGCAGCCGCGGUAAUACGGAGGGUGCAAGCGUUAAUCGGAAUUACUGGGCGUAAAGCGCACGCAGGCGGUUUGUUAAGUCAGAUGUGAAAUCCCCGGGCUCAACCUGGGAACUGCAUUUGAAACUGGCAAGCUAGAGUCUCGUAGAGGGGGGUAGAAUUCCAGGUGUAGCGGUGAAAUGCGUAGAGAUCUGGAGGAAUACCGGUGGCGAAGGCGGCCCCCCUGGACGAAGACUGACGCUCAGGUGCGAAAGCGUGGGGAGCAAACAGGAUUAGAUACCCCCGGUAGUCCACGCUGUAAACGAUGUCGAUUUUGGAGGUUGUGCCCUUGAGGCGUGGCUUCCGGAGCUAACGCGUUAAAUCGACCGCCUGGGGAGUACGGCCGCAAGGUUAAAACUCAAAUGAAUUGAC
rnacentral:rRNA from 1 species